rnacentral:rRNA from 1 species
UGCAAGUCGAGCGGUAGAGAGAAGCUUGCUUCUCUUGAGAGCGGCGGACGGGUGAGUAAUGCCUAGGAAUCUGCCUAGUGGUGGGGGAUAACGUUCGGAAACGGACGCUAAUACCGCAUACGUCCUACGGGAGAAAGCGGGGGAUCUUCGGACCUCGCGCCAUUAGAUGGGCCUAGGUCGGAUUAGCUAGUUGGUGAGGUAAUGGCUCACCAAGGCGACGAUCCGUAACUGGUCUGAGAGGAUGAUCAGUCACACUGGAACUGAGACACGGUCCAGACUCCUACGGGAGGCAGCAGUGGGGAAUAUUGGACAAUGGGCGAGAGCCUGAUCCAGCCAUGCCGCGUGUGUGAAGAAGGUCUUCGGAUUGUAAAGCACUUUAAGUUGGGAGGAAGGGCAGUAACCUAAUACGUUAUUGUUUUGACGUUACCGACAGAAUAAGCACCGGCUAACUUCGUGCCAGCAGCCGCGGUAAUACGAAGGGUGCAAGCGUUAAUCGGAAUUACUGGGCGUAAAGCGCGCGUAGGUGGUUCAGUAAGUUGGAAGUGAAAUCCCCGGGCUCAACCUGGGAACUGCUUUCAAAACUGCUGAGCUAGAGUACGGUAGAGGGUGGUGGAAUUUCCUGUGUAGCGGUGAAAUGCGUAGAUAUAGGAAGGAACACCAGUGGCGAAGGCGACCACCUGGACUGAUACUGACACUGAGGUGCGAAAGCGUGG